rnacentral:rRNA from 1 species
GACGUGGGGUGCAAGCGUUGUCCGGAAUUACUGGGCGUAAAGGGCGUGUAGGUGGCCUUCUAAGUCUCCUUUGAAAGGUCUCGGCUCAACCGAGAUUGCGGAGGAGAAACUAUGAGGCUAGACGGUGAUAGGGGCAGACAGAAUUCCCGGUGAAGGGGUAAAAUCCGUUGAUAUCGGGAGGAAUACCAGUGGCGAAGGCGGUCUGCUAGGUCACUCGUGACACUGAGGCGCGAAAGUCUGGGGAGCGAAAGGG